UUACGGCCAUAUCUCGAUGAAACACCGUUCCCGUACGAUAACCGAAGUUAAGCAACGUCGAGACUAGUCAGUACCUAGAUUAGUGACCUCUUUGGAAUACCGGAUGCUGUAAG